rnacentral:rRNA from 1 species
CCUACGGGUGACAGCAGUGAGGAAUAUUGGUCAAUGGGCGCGAGCCUGAACCAGCCAAGUCGCGUGAAGGAUGACUGCCCUACGGGUUGUAAACUUCUUUUAUAAAGGAAUAAAGUGAGGCACGUGUGCCUUCUCGUAUGUACUUUAUGAAUAAGGCACGGCUAAACGCGUUCCAGCCGCCGCGGUAAUAAGGAGGAUCCGAACGGUAUCCGGAUUUAUUGGGUUUAAAGGGAGCGUAGGUGGGUUGUUAAGUCAGUUGUGAAAGUUUGCGGGUCAAACGUAAAAUUGCAAUUGAUACUGGCAGUCUUGAGUGCAGUUGAGGAAGGCGGAAUUCGUGGUGUAGCGGUGAAAUGCUUAGAUAUCACGAAGAACUCCGAUUGCGAAGGCAGCUUUCUAGACUGCUACUGACAUUGAGGCUCGAAAGUGUGGGGAUCAAACAGGAUUAGAUACCCUGGUAGUC